rnacentral:rRNA from 2 species
UCUGGUGACAAUGGCAAGGAGGUCACACCUGUUCCCAUGCCGAACACAGAAGUUAAGCUCCUUAGCGCCGAUGGUAGUCGGACUGACGUUCCGCUAG